UCCUAGUCCAAAAAUAUUUUAGAGUAAGGAG
rnacentral:piRNA from 1 species